rnacentral:rRNA from 1 species
CCUACGGGUGGCAGCAGUAGGGAAUAUUGCUCAAUGGGGGAAACCCUGAAGCAGCAACGCCGCGUGAAGGAUGAAGGUCUUCGGAUUGUAAACCUCUUUGUUAGAGGAGAUAAUGACAGUAUCUUAAGCAUCAGUACAUGUAAACUCCGUGCAAGCAGCGGCGGUAAUACGGAGGGUGCAAGCGUUACUCGGAAGCACUGGGCGUAAAGAGCGCGUAGGCGGGAUGGCAAGUCAGAUGUGAAAUCCUAUGGCUUAACCAUAGAACUGCAUUUGAAACUGUCAUUCUUGAGUAUGGGAGAGGUAGGUGGAAUUCGUGGUGUAGGGGUAAAAUCCGUAGAGAUCAAGAGGAACACUGAUUGCGAAGGCGACCUGCUAGAACAUAACUGACGCUGAUGCGCGAAAGCGUGGGUAGCAAACAGGAUUAGAUACCCCAGUAGUC